GAAAAUGGCAUGGUUCUGGAGUUGGCUCAAAAGCAUUUCAUUCUUAUCGUACCAUCAUUACCAUGACUCUGAUAUCAGUUUGAAAAUUAAUAUGAAGCUUCAAAGACAAGCCCGCUAAUCGGCCUUCUUUCUCCUACAUUGUGGAAGCAUUGAGGCAACUACUUGUGAAAUCUACAUCUCCGCAAUCUAGGUCCCAACUCUGAUAAUUUAUCUACCACAGUUUAUACACGUGUCAUCCUAUUGAUGUCGAUAUGGUGAUAGUCUCCAUCUUCUAAUGUACAGAUAUAUCAUUCUUAUAUCACCGUUUAAUUGAAUGGGGAGAAUUCUGAUGAAUUGUUGUAAAGUUUUACCCAGUUAGAAUACAUCCAAAAUUUUGAAACUUGAUGUGAGAUCAUAGCUGAAAUCUUUUGGAUUAGAUCGAUGGUUGGCAUGAAUGGAUUAAACAUUACUACCUUUUAAAA